GGGUGCUUGCACCUGGUGGCGAGUGGCGAACGUGUGAGUAAUGCACCGGAACGUACCCAGUAAUGGGGGAUAACACAUCGAAAGAUGUGCUAAUACCGCAUACGCCCUGAGGGGGAAAGCGGGGGAUCGUAAGACCUCGCGUUAUUGGAGCGGCCGAUGCCGGAUUAGCUAGUUGGUGAGGUAAGAGCUCACCAAGGCGACGAUCCGUAGCUGGUCUGAGAGGACGACCAGCCACACUGGGACUGAGACACGGCCCAGACUCCUACGGGAGGCAGCAGUGGGGAAUUUUGGACAAUGGGCGCAAGCCUGAUCCAGCCAUGCCGCGUGAGUGAAGAAGGCCUUCGGGUUGUAAAGCUCUUUCGCAAGGAAAGAAAACUUAUCUACUAAUACUAGGUGAGGUUGACGGUACCUUGAUAAGAAGCACCGGCUAACUACGUGCCAGCAGCCGCGGUAAUACGUAGGGUGCGAGCGUUAAUCGGAAUUACUGGGCGUAAAGCGUGCGCAGGCGGUUUUGUAAGUCAGAUGUGAAAUCCCCGGGCUCAACCUGGGAACUGCGUUUGAAACUACAAGGCUAGAGUGUAGAAGAGGGGGGUAGAAUUCCACGUGUAGCAGUGAAAUGCGUAGAGAUGUGGAGGAAUACCGAUGGCGAAGGCAGCCCCCUGGGCUAACACUGACGCUCAUGCACGAAAGCGUGGGGAGCAAACAGGAUUAGAUACCCUGGUAGUCCACGCCCUAAACGAUGUCUACUAGUUGUUGGAGGAGUAAAAUCCUUUAGUAACGCAGCUAACGCGUGAAGUAGACCGCCUGGGGAGUACGGUCGCAAGAUUAAAACUCAAAGGAAUUGACGGGGGCCCGCACAAGCGGUGGAUUAUGUGGAUUAAUUCGAUGCAACGCGAAAAACCUUACCUGGCCUUGACAUGCCACUAACGAAGCAGAGAUGCAUUAGGUGCCCGAAAGGGAAAGUGGACACAGGUGCUGCAUGGCUGUCGUCAGCUUGUGUCGUGAGAUGUUGGGUUAAGUCCCCGCAACGAGCGCAACCCUUGCCAAUAAUUGCCAUCAUUUAGUUGGGCACUUUAUUGGGGACUGCCGGUGACAAACCGGAGGAAGGUGGGGAUGACGUCAAGUCCUCAUGGCCCUUAUGGCCAGGGCUUCACACGUAAUACAAUGGUCGGUACAGAGGGUUGCCAACCCGCGAGGGGGAGCCAAUCCCAGAAAGCCGAUCGUAGUCCGGAUUGUAGUCUGCAACUCGACUACAUGAAGUCGGAAUCGCUAGUAAUCGCGGAUCAGCAUGUCGCGGUGAAUACGUUCCCGGGCCUUGUACACACCGCCCGUCACACCAUGGGAGUGGGUUCUACCAGAAGUAGUUAGCCUAACCGUAAGGAGGGCGAUUACCACGGUAGGAUUCAUGACUGGGGUGAAGUCGUAACAAGGUAUCAAGC
rnacentral:rRNA from 1 species